rnacentral:piRNA from 1 species
UCCUGUUUCAAAGGAGGUGACCACUGUUC